AACGUAGGACGCAAGCGUUAUCCGGAGUUACUGGGCGUAAAGGGCGGGCAGGCGGUCGCUCAAGUGGGAUGUGAAAGCUCCCGGCUUAACCGGGAGAGGCCAUUCCAAACUGAACGACUGGAGGGCAGGAGAGGUGCGUGGAAUUCCGGGUGGAGUGGUGAAAUGCGUAGAGAUCCGGAGGAACACCAGAGGCGAAGGCGACGCACUGGGCUGCACCUGACGCUGAACCGCGAAAGCCAGGGGAGCGAACGGG
rnacentral:rRNA from 1 species